rnacentral:rRNA from 1 species
AGGACUAACGCUGGCGGCGUGCCUAACACGUGCAAGUCGAGCGGACACCACUUUGUAGCAAUACAGAUGAAGUGUUAGCGGCAGACGGGUGAGUAACACGUAGUCAACCUACCUUACCGUCCGGGAUAACUAGCCGAAAGGUUAGCUAAUACCUGAUACGAUCAUCGAGCGGCAUCGCUUGAUGAUGAAAGCAGUAAUGCGCGGUUUGAGGGGGCUGCGGCCCAUUAGCUAGUUGGUGAGGUAACGGCCCACCAAGGCAACGAUGGGUAGCUGGUCUGAGAGGACGACCAGCCACACUGGGACUGAGACACGGCCCAGACUCCUACGGGAGGCAGCAGUGAGGAAUUUUCCGCAAUGGGCGAAAGCCUGACGGAGCGACGCCGCGUGCACGAGGAAGGUCUUCGGAUCGUAAAGUGCUGUCGAGGGGGACGAUUAUGACGGUACCCCUGGAGGAGGCCCGGCUAACUACGUGCCAGUAGCCGCGGU